rnacentral:rRNA from 1 species
UACGAAGGGGGCUAGCGUUGUUCGGAAUUACUGGGCGUAAAGGGCGCGUAGGCGGCGAUAAUAGUCAGAAGUGAAAGCCCCGGGCUCAACCUGGGAAUUGCUUUUGAUACUGUAUUGCUUGAGUCCGGAAGAGGAGAGUGGAAUUCCCGGUGUAGCGGUGAAAUGCGCAGAUAUCGGGAAGAACACCCGUGGCGAAGGCGGCUCUCUGGGACGGUACUGACGCUGAGACGCGAAAGCGUGGGGAGCGAACAGG